rnacentral:rRNA from 15 species
AACGACUCUCGACAACGGAUAUCUCGGCUCUCGCAUCGAUGAAGAACGUAGCGAAAUGCGAUACUUGGUGUGAAUUGCAGAAUCCCGUGAACCAUCGAGUCUUUGAACGCAAGUUGCGCCCGAAGCCACUUGGCUGAGGGCACGCCUGCCUGGGUGUCACGC